GGGUAGCUCAGUCGGUAGAGCGCAAGACUCUUAAUCUCAGGGUCAUGGGUUCGAGUGCCACGUUGGGCA